GAUCAUGGCUCAGGAUGAACGCUAGCGACAGGCUUAACACAUGCAAGUCGAGGGGCAGCGGGGGUAGCGAUACCCGCCGGCGACCGGCGCACGGGUGAGUAACGCGUAUGCAACUUGCCUAUCAGAGGGGGAUAACCCGGCGAAAGUCGGACUAAUACCGCAUGAAGCAGGGAUCCCGCAUGGGAAUAUUUGCUAAAGAUUUAUAGCUGAUAGAUAGGCAUGCGUUCCAUUAGG
rnacentral:rRNA from 1 species